GGCCGCGUGGUGUAGUGGGUUAACACCUGGCAGUCCAUUGUUUUUGGAGCAAACAGUGGAAGAGGGUUCGAAUCCCUCCGCGACUA